rnacentral:rRNA from 1 species
CCUACGGGGGGCUGCAGUCGGGAAUUUUGGGCAAUGGGGGCAACCCUGACCCAGCAACGCCGCGUGAGCGAUGAAGGCCUUCGGGUCGUAAAGCUCUGUCGGGAGGGAAGAAGGCUCUCGGGGUGAAUAAUCCCGGGGGAUUGACGGUACCUCCAAAGGAAGCGCCGGCUAACUCCGGGCCAGCAGCCGCGGUAAUACGGAGGGCGCAAGCGGCGUUCGGAGCGACUGGGCGUAAUGCGCGUGUAGGCGGGAAAGCCCGGGGCCUACCCCCGGACCUGCACUCGAAACUGCCUCGCUAGAGUCUCGGAGAGGGUGGUGGAAUUCCCGGUGUAGUGGUGAAAUACGUAGAUAUCGGGAGGAACACCAGCGGCGAAGGCGGCCACCUGGACGAUGACUGACGCUGAGACGCGAAAGCGUGGGGAGCAAACAGGAUUAGAUACCCCUGUAGUC